CAGGCCUUUGGUGGAACCACAUCAGAUGCCCCAGAGUGUUAGAUGCGUUUGUCUCAUUUGCACAACGUGAUUUGUAAUGAUUGAGUGUCCAACAGACACUUUAGGUAAAUAAGUAAGGGUUCACCAACUGGCUAUAAAAUCACAGGACCGAGGCCUUUAUCUUGGCUACAUAGCAACAACCACCGAUACCUGACACUUUAGGUAAAUAAGUAACUGGCUAUAAAUCACAGGACUGAGGCAUUGAUCUUGGCCAUAUAGCAUCAACCAAUGAUACCUGCCCUUAACAAUCGAAAGACAUGGAGAUUACCACUAACGUGUUUUCCAAUGGCACGGAAUCUGCCUGACGUAAUGGGUCAUCAACCCAAUGUCUGGGCCAUAGAUACUGGAUUUCCGUUGCAAUAAGUGACCUUUUGUGUAUCUUCAUUGGACAACCUGUGAUUGCAAAACUGCUAUGGACCGCCUUUCACUCAAAGAAGACGGACGUCCUCAAUAUCAAUUUGGGUCUCUUUCACAACUUCCAAUACCUGCUAACCACUAUACAAUUGGGUUUCAUGUAUCAAUUUAACAAGGAUCCAAGUUUAAAAAUUGUUUCUUUCAUAACUGUGUAUCUUCUCAUAGGAGGGCCACUGACUUUAUCCUUCAUCUGUUUGGAGCGGUACAUUGCUGUGGUCCAUCCCACCUUCUAUCCACUGUUGAAGAAGUACAGAUGUAGGGAGGGUUGUGCUCUGUCAAUGUGGUUUCUAGUGCUGCCCACUGCCACGAUUAAAUAUUUUUUAAUUGAAUUCAAAAUUAACAAUCAGAUUGUAAUAGACUACAUGGUGUACACUGUAAUGUUCCUCAUGCUGAUUGUAAUAGCAUGGUGCAGCCACGCUAUUCUGAAGGCACUCAGAACCUCAGGGCCUGCGACUGAUAAAUUACAUCCUGCCAAAAAGCGAGCUUUUCAAACAGUCCGUGCCAUUGCAAUCAUUGCAUCGAUGUGUUACAUUCCAGUUGGUGGAUUAAUUUCAUACACAAUGAUAAAAGGAAAUGAAACAAUUUGUUCAACAAUUCCUGCCAUCCUAUUCCUGGUAACGAUUGCUAGUGUUGCGCAUCCCAUAUUUUACCUGUCAACUACAGGGAACCUGCCUUGCCUAAUCAUCACAGAUUCCAUAAGAAACUGGCGUCAUGUGGCUCAGGUGGUGGAGCGGGUCGGCUAGUAACCGGCGGGUCGCUAGUUCGAUCCCCGGCUCCACCUAGCCAAGUGUCGAGGUGUCCCAAGCAAGACACCUCACCCUGACUGCUGCUGACGAGCUGGCUGUCGCCUUGCAUGGUAGUCACCGCCGUCAUGCAUCCAUUGACACCAGAGUGUAAAUGUGUGCAUGAAUGGGUGAAUGUUGUAAUGUUCAACAUGUAAAGCGCUUUGAGUGGCCACUGGUUCUUAAAGCGCUACAUAAAAGCAAUUUAUUGACCAUAAGAAAAAACACUGCUAAUGAUAUAUUCUCUACAAAGAGCUUAGAGUGUAGAUCCUUUGGAACACAAUUGAAGUACAUUCAACAUUCAUUUGCAUAACAUGUAUAACUUAUAGGUAUAAAUCUUUUCAUUGGCACUUUUAGAGAAACAAUAGAAGCUGUCCUGUGAUUCUUUUUUACCAUAUUAUAAUAUCAUGUAGGCCUAUGCCCAGAGGUCCCAAAAGGCUGAAUGGGAGAAGAGUUUGAUUGUAAUUAGUUAAUAAUGCCACAGCCAUUUGUCAGCUAGUAGUGCGCCGGCCUCUGUAUGAGCCUAUUGAGAUUUUAGCCUGGCUUACUCGAAUCUUUCUUACAGCACCCUAUUAAAGGC
ensembl:lncRNA